AUGGCCAAUGCGCACAUCGCCGAAGGGGCCACCGGCACCCGCUUGCGUUACUCGUGCGCGAAGAAUUACAAGCGCCAAGCGGGCACCUCCAGCCUCGUUGUGUGCAAGUACAACGAAAUGUCGAAGAAGCCCGAAUGGACACGGCCGAAUAUAAACUGCAUCAGAGACCCCUCGCUGCCUCCAGAACCCGAAACAGCCACAGAAGACUCCGGGAGAGAAACAGAAGCUUCCACACCCAACAGUCCAGAGGCUGCAGGGGUGGACCCGUCAGUGACAUCCGCACAUCCGUACGGAAGCAGGACUGACCCUUCCCCGUCACCUCCGGGCACCGCUGGCGUGACCUCGAGGCCGACCGCGGCGACAGCAGGCUUUGCAGAAGAUGGCGAGGGGACUCCUCCUGGCGAGGCCACGGAAAGGGUAACCCCGUCCCACGGAAGCGCCACCCCAGUCUCACGAGCCAGGACUAGCAAGACCCUCACGGCAGGAAGUAGCCCGACCGUCGUCCCCUCCGAGGGAACCGAGGGAAAUACGACUCGGGCAUCCGACCCAGCCGGUCCGGAGAGCCGAAAAGAUUUCCUUUACUUCAGUAUUGGAUUCCCUGCUCUAGCAGUCGGAUUCAUCGUAAUAUGCUCCCUGUUGUGGUGCCUCUACAGAAGAAAACGAGGAACGGUUGUGGGUCCCCAUACCAAAGAAAGCAUCCCCAUGGCCCCUGUGACCUCCAGAGAAGAAGGCUCUUCGUUCAGCCCCCUGGACGAUCCAGAGCCCUCUGGGGAAGGGGCUCCCAUGUUACGGAUCCACCAUGCCGCUCCCACCAGUUUGGCGCAUCAUCAAGCCAGUGCAAACGGAGACGGGGACGGCAGUUCUUAG
rnacentral:lncRNA from 1 species